UUUUUUGUUUCAUAUACAAAAUCAGAAAUCUAAGGGUUUACUUUGUACGGUUGAGAUUUUACAAAAAACUAUGAAACUAAGGAACUAGAAAAAGUCAAAAUUAUAAAUUAAAAAGUCAACCACACCAGAAAAACAAGUUUUUGAGACAUUUAAAAACAUUUUUGAGUUCUCUAAUGCCGAUGAAAGUUGAAAUUACAAAGUUUUUAAGGAAAUUUUUUAAGCUGCAUUUUGAAAACAAACAUUUCAAUUGUAAAUAAAACAUGAACCAGAUAAUUUGUUGACAGUUGCUGACCAUAUUUGAACUCGCCGUACCUUCAAGAAUAAUCUGUUAAAUUUUCGUUUCAGUAUCUUGCAUAGUUUCAGAGAAAAUUCGCAUUCAUACAAAGAUAAAUCCAAAUUUUAUGUUUCAUAUACAAAAUCAGAAAUCUAAGGGUUUACUUUGUACGGUUGAGAUUUUACAAAAAACUAUGAAACUAAGGAACUAGAAAAAGUCACAUUUAUAAAUUAAAAAGUCAACCACACCAGAAAACAAGUUUUUAGGACAUUUAAAAACACUUUUGAGUUCUCUAAUGCCGCUGAAAGUUUGAAUUUACAAAGUUUUUAAGGAAAUUUUUUAAGCUGCAUUUUGAAAACAAACAUUUCAAUUGUAAAUAAAACAUGUACCAGAUAAUUUGUUGACAAUUGCUGACCAUAUUUGAACUUGCCGUACCUUCAACAAUAAUCUGUUAAAUUUUCGUUUCAGUAUCUUGCAUAGUUUUAGAGAAAAUCGCAUUCAUACAAAGAUAAUCAAGAUUUUUUGUUUCAUAUACAAAAUCAGAAAUCUAAGGGUUUACUUUGUACGGUUGAGAUUUUACAAAAAACUAUGAAACUAAGGAACUAGAAAAAGUCAAAAUCAUCAAAUAAGAAGUCAACCACACCUGAAAAAAAAGUUUUUGAGACAUUUAAAAACAUUUUUGAGUUCUCUAAUGCCGAUGAAAGUUUGAAAUUACAAAGUUUUUAAGGAAAUUUUUUAAGCUGCAUUUUGAAAACAAACAUUUCAAUUGUAAAUCAAACAUGAACCAGAUAAUUUGUUGACAAUUGCUGACCAUAUUUGAACUCGCCGUACCUUCAAGAAUAAUCUGUUAAAUUUUCGUUUCAGUAUCUUGCAUAGUUUCAGAGAAAAUUGCAUUCAUACAAGAUAAAUCAAGAUUUUUUGUUUCAUAUACAAAAUCAGAAAUCUAAGGGUUUACUUUGUACGGUUGAGAUUUUACAAAAAACUAUGAAACUAAGGAACUAGAAAAAGUCAAAAUCAUCAAUUCAAAAGUCAACCACACCAGAAAAACAAGUUUUUGAGACAUUUAAAAACAUUUUUGAGUUCUCUAAUGCCGAUGAAAGUUUGAAAUUACAAAGUUUU